AGGAGGAAUGCUGAGUGCUGACCUGACAAGAGGAGACGCACCCGUCUUUCCAGGAAUUUUACUUUUUUUUCUUUGUGUCUUGACGCGCAGCAAGGAGACAAAUGAGGGACAUCACUAAUGAGACACUUUUUAGGACUUGGGGCCAAACGCUGUGGUGAGCGUCUCAAGGGAAUGUUCUUCCAUUGCCUAUCGGAGGAAUAGAUUUACUUGAUCAUUUUAUUGCCAUUGUCUAAUGUUGUUCUGAUGAUAAAUAGCAUUGUUUAUUGGACUGUUUAUGAUUUAUUUUACUUUUAUUGAGCUCAAGCAGCCACUUGUCUUGCUCUUGUGAUCAAAUUGAAAGUAAAAGAUGGCACAGAAGGAGGGAGGAACAGAGCAGUGGUGUGUGAAGACCGGGGACAAUUUUGGGGCCAAAGCCAUGCCGGGGGCCCCCGCACCAGGGGGCGGGGUGGUGGUGGGGGUCCGCGAGAAGAAGGGAGCCCUGAGGGCCGCCAUACCCACAAUGCCCUUCCCUCUGGCGGUCAUCUGCCUCUUCUUCAACACCUUCAUUCCAGGACUUGGCACCUUCAUCUCGGCCUUCUCGGUGCUGUGCGGCGCCCGCAGCGAGCUGGUCCCCGAGCGAGGCGUGUGCUGCGUCUUCUGGCUCAACAUGGCGGCGGCCCUCAUCCAGAUCCUGACGGCCGUCUUCAUGGUGGGCUGGAUCAUGAGCAUCUUCUGGGGAAUGGACAUGGUCAUCCUGGCAAUCAAUCCAGGUUGUGUUGUUUCAGUCAUGUGAUGUUCCAGCAUCUCAUUACGGAAUCUUUGUCAGGUUCAAGCACUAACUCUCUUUUUCUUCUUCUAUUUGUUGUCAUCGUCGUCUUCCCAACUCCAAGUUUCUGACGGCUACCGAGACCAAGGUGUUCCACAGGACGUCUGAGAGGACCCCAAUGGACUGGUGGUCUUUUUGAAGGACCCCCAAACAUGAGGACAACCUUUCCGUCCUUUAAUCGUCCGAUGGCAACGAUGGAGUGUUAGCGUGGUACAAAAUAGCAGCAUGGAGAAGAAGAAGAAAGGGCAGGAAAUAAUCACCAAAAUGUUAGCUAGCUCGCUAAUCAGCGGACUUGUGCUAGCUGAUAGCUUAAAACAAAACAAAGCGUUUUGCUUUUAUUACAUUUUUUGUUUGUUUUCUGGUGCUUUUGGUUAGUGUAAAGUGUCCAAUAAAUAAAACAAAGUACUUUCAUGCCAUAAAUGUUGCUAAAUAGUUGUUCUUUUGUUGACUUGAUAUUUUUUAACUACAAAAACAUGCAUGUAAAAUCAUUUUUAUUCUAGAAGUCCAAACUACAUCUGAUUACUCUUUGUUGUUCAACCCUUGGUUUAUGUAAAAGCUGCAAACUGACGUGCGCAACUGCACAAGUGACACAUGCACCCUGAUAAGUACCUCUCAUGUGUGUGUGUGUGUGUGUGUGUGUGUGUGUCUGUGCGUGUGUGUGUGUGUGUGUGUGUGUGUGUGUGUGUGUGUGUGUGUGUGUGUGUGUGUGUGUGUGUGUGUGCUGUACCACUUUUUUCUCAACAAAAGUGUGACAGUGUGACCUCGAUGGGAGCUAUAAAUAGAACUUUUCAGCAAGAAUCAAGGGAUAAUCUUUCUAGAAAAAAAUCCAUAAUCCCACCUUUAAGGGAAAAAAGUGUGCAUUAGCUGUAUUACGAUAUUAGUUCUAAUUUUAGCCUCCAUUCCACAAACUACUCUUUUUUUUUAAAUGUAUUUAUUUUCUACAUAUGAUAAUCUGGUACUGAUGCCUUGCUUUUUAAAUGCACAAACUGUUGUGUUGCUGGAGAAAAUAGUCUAUUAGUGUUCUUGCAUGCUUGCUUUUGACUGUACACAAACACAAAGAUUAAAUAAAAUGUUAUCACAAAA